UUUCUUUAAAGCUUCUCUAUGUUUUCACAAUGCAAAAUUCUGCUUAUGAUUGUAUGAGAUGGGAGCUUGUUCUAUAGAUUUAUAAUAGAUGCUGUAUUAUCUUUCAAAAGAAUGUGGUCCCGACCCAAUUGAGGAAGUUAUGCCCAAAGUGUAGUUAGCAUAGUGUCCCAGUGGGAAUCAGAAGUUUAACUGGUAAUGGUAUCAUCUCUCCUUGAUAAGGGCAAUAGUAAUGGAUAGAUGAUUGAAAGGAGAAAUGAAGUCAACCAUAUAGGAUACUGAAUCUGCUAAGGCAUUUAGAAGACAACUGAAAGAGACAAUCUACUCAGUGCUGUUUGAUAUGAAUGUUCCUGCUGUUUGUGCCAUCAAUCAGGCGUACACGAACAAGCUGGAGAACAAGGUUUCACGUCUGGAAGAAGAGAAUGAAAGGCUCGAGAAGCAGAAGGUCGCACGAUGAAAAAAUAG